GAAGGGCAGAGUCCUUGGGGGAGGGGAAGGGAUCUGGCAUUUGACAGCUGACUGGACAGCUGGUCUAAUGAAAAGAUUGCCUCAAAGACUCUCUCCUCAUGUCUGGACAAGCACCAUUUUGGCCUGAUUGGAGCCAAGCGGUGGAGCUGUAUUUUCGGGCGAAGCCUUUUUGGCGAGCUGCGAUUUUCCUCGGCAGUGUCCGCCAGCGCGUCGUUUUUGCAAAUUGUUCCACCGACUCCUGGCCGGGAGCGACCCUCCAAAAUGAGAAUUAUUUCUAAAUGGGGGACGGGAGCCGAACACCAGCCUUGCCCCCGUCCUCAGACCAGUCGCCGAGCUGCCAAGGAGGAUCUGAAUAGACGUACGCCGUCGCCCCCACGAAUCGUGCGUUAGUGAACAACCGCCACUUGCCUGGAGCAAAACGAUACCGUUACCUAGCAGUAGAAGCACCGACAGGGCAAAAUACAGGUGUGGGUUUGGUGAACGCAGAUCAGCCCCGAGACGAAGAAUGGGCAGCGUGACAUUGAAUCCCCUUCGGUCCCUCUCUAAUACAAAACUGUGCGAGAGAAGUUGAAAGGGAGGGAAACGGCCAGGUUGACCCUCAUUUUCUUUGGUGUAAUCGACGAAGAGCACGCAAACACAAGUGAUGUUUCAGUACCGGUUCACUUUCAUUCACAGGCAAUACUCCGAAUAGUCCUCAACAAUAUUCAGGUUUAGAUAUUUUCAGUUUCAUUAUUCCUGAACAAUACUCUGGCACGCACUUUUCAAAUGCCUAAGAUAACAUCUCUGCGUGGGAUCUCUAUUUUAACCCUGGAAACAAACUGGUGUCAUCUGAUGGCUGGCAGCGGUCUCACUGCAGUCAGGGCGUGUGUAAAAACUGGUCACACACAUCCCAGAGUCAGUGGACUCGCAGCAAGGGGGUAUUUGCGUCAGUGUAUUUGCAGAGUAGGCCGUAAACCCUCCCAAAGCUAGAUGUAGGGAGUCCUGGCUUGGCAGGAGCACAUGGAGGAGAAGGAGGGCACUGGUAGCAAGCUGAGGGCUGUCUUCCUCAUCCUCACCAAGAUCUGGGAUUGCACCUCUUUGCAGGUUCCCGUUGUAAGUUUCUUGUGGUGCACGCACUGCAUCUCAGAAGUGUGCUCUCUGUGUUUUGCUCUGUAUAUGGGAAAAGCAAAAAUGUUUUGAGGUUAAACAGUUUAGUAAGUGGGAACUUUGAUUUUUUUUUACUUGUUCUCUGGCAUUAAGGUCUUCAGUGAUAUGUAUUUUUCAUGUUAAGCAUCAAAUAUAUGCCUGGCUCUCUCAUAAUGCUUUUCAUCAGUUGACCUCAAAGUGGGCUACAAAAGAGUUCAGCAUCAUUAUUUCCAUUUCCCAGCUAACCAUUGGCAACAUCCCUCCCUUAAAUAAUGUGAGGCCAUAUUUUUAAAGAUACUUAGGUAUCUAAUUGUCCAUUUGAUUUCAGUGGAACUUUGGCACCUACGUAUCUUAAGGCACGCAAGGUUCUUUGGUAGAUAUGAUAUCUUUUAUUAGACCAACUGAGUAGUUUCAACUAGCCAGGCCUCCCUACAUCUAGCUUUGAGUGUGAUAUCUUUUAUUAGACCAACUGAGUAGUCCCAGCUACUCAGUUGGUCUAAUAAAAGAUCUCACAUCUCCCCAAAGAACCUUGCCUGCCGAUGCCCUUAGACCAACACAGCUACAACUAACACCCCAGCAACAUGUAAAUAUCUUAAAACAUUUGUCCCUCAUAGAGUUAGUUGAGCCCUGGUCCACUUAGGUGCAUAGCUGCAAAGGUGUGUGUGUGUUCCCAUUUAAAUUGAUGGGAAUACUUCCAUUCUUAUUUACUCAUGCACACAACUAGUUGUACAAUCUUAGACUUAUCUAAUGAUAAGACAUACCAGCUGAAUAAAACAAAAAGAGGAGGGGAAGUGUGAAAUACUAAGUAUAGGAUAUAAGCAUCUUUUCUCAGACUUGCCACAUGCAAGAUGUAUUUCUACGUAGUAGUAUUUUUUACUUCUGUUGCUUUUUUUUUAAAUAUUUCAGCUUGGGUUCUAGCUUUUUGUACUUCUACUUCUGCCCCAUUCUUAUUUAUGUUUGGCCCAGUUCUACAAAGACUUUAGAUCCCAUUUAAAAUUGUGACGUAUCUUUCAGCUGCGUAUUCAAAAUUGGUGACUUCUUUUGAAGUUAUCCCUAUUGCAUCAAAAAAAGAAAAGACUGCGUUAAUAGCUAGUGUGUGUUACCAGCUGAGUUCGAUGUUAGAAUUCUGAAUCGUGCUAUUUGAGUUUACUAUAAAAAUCAACAGAUAUGAAAGCAUUAGGAAUUAUUUUUAAUGUUUGUUUUCUUCAUAACCAGUGGUACAGUAUGUUGCUUUUAUGUGCAAGAGCAUGAGAGAAUUAUGGGAAUGCCAGCAUGGGGCAUGGGAAGGACUUAUUGGACUCAGCUUCAUAGUAUGUCCAUGUUGAGACACUGAUGGAAAUAUUUUUGCAACAAGACUUCUAUAUUGUUGGGCAAAAAGACGAAUGUUUACAUAUGCUAAAACAGUCUGACCAACUAUGUGAGAUGAAUGCUUUUGCAUUAAUGAGGAAAUUUAGAAAGGCAAUACGUGUGUCAUCUAACAGAAAAAAGAAUGUUAAUAAAUGUACUAGAACUGUGAAGUGUGAUAGAGAACAGUUUCUAUGAUAUCCAGAAACUAGAUAUUUCUAGAUGUGCUUUUUCUCAAUCAGACGUGUGCUCCGUUAGGUGAGAUAUGAGCGCUGGAGAUGGAGCUGAAUUCCAGUUCCAAGUCUAGUUCUGAUGUUGGCCAAAAUGCUACCAACCACACUUUCACAGCAUCCAUUUCUGUAGAUUGGAAAUAAAGAUAUUUACUGGUA